GGCUCAGUGGUCUAGUGGUAUGAUUGUCGCUUCGGGUUUCCACGCCUGGAUUUCUUUAAUGGAAUCUAUCAAUGUGACAGGCCCCGGGUUCGAAUCCCGGCUGAGCCC